rnacentral:rRNA from 1 species
GAUGAACGCUGGCGGCGUGCCUAAUACAUGCAAGUCGAGCGAACGGACGAGAAGCUUGCUUCUCUGAUGUUAGCGGCGGACGGGUGAGUAACACGUGGAUAACCUACCUAUAAGACUGGGAUAACUUCGGGAAACCGGAGCUAAUACCGGAUAAUAUUUUGAACCGCAUGGUUCAAAAGUGAAAGACGGUCUUGCUGUCACUUAUAGAUGGAUCCGCGCUGCAUUAGCUAGUUGGUAAGGUAACGGCUUACCAAGGCAACGAUGCAUAGCCGACCUGAGAGGGUGAUCGGCCACACUGGAACUGAGACACGGUCCAGACUCCUACGGGAGGCAGCAGUAGGGAAUCUUCCGCAAUGGGCGAAAGCCUGACGGAGCAACGCCGCGUGAGUGAUGAAGGUCUUCGGAUCGUAAAACUCUGUUAUUAGGGAAGAACAUAUGUGUAAGUACCUGUGCACAUCUUGACGGUACCUAAUCAGAAAGCCACGGCUAACUACGUGCCAGCAGCCGCGGUAAUACGUAGGUGGCAAGCGUUAUCCGGAAUUAUUGGGCGUUAAGCGCGCGUAGGCGGUUUUUUAGUCUGAUGUGAAAGCCCACGGCUCAACCGUGGAGGGUCAUCGGAAACUGGAAAACUUGAGUGCAGAAGAGGAAAGUGGAAUUCCAUGUGUAGCGGUGAAAUGCGCAGAGAUAUGGAGGAACACCAGUGGCGAAGGCGACUUUCUGGUCUGUAACUGACGCUGAUGUGCGAAAGCGUGGGGAUCAAACAGGAUUAGAUACCCUGGUAGUCCACGCCGUAAACGAUGAGUGCUAAGUGUUAGGGGGUUUCCGCCCCUUAGUGCUGCAGCUAACGCAUUAAGCACUCCGCCUGGGGAGUACGACCGCAAGGUUGAAACUCAAAGGAAUUGACGGGGACCCGCACAAGCGGUGGAGCAUGUGGUCUAAUUCGAAGCAACGCGAAGAACCUUACCAAAUCUUGACAUCCUUUGACAACUCUAGAGAUAGAGCCUUCCCCUUCGGGGGACAAAGUGACAGGUGGUGCAUGGUUGUCGUCAGCUCGUGUCGUGAGAUGUUGGGUUAAGUCCCGCAACGAGCGCAACCCUUAAGCUUAGUUGCCAUCAUUAAGUUGGGCACUCUAAGUUGACUGCCGGUGACAAACCGGAGGAAGGUGGGGAUGACGUCAAAUCAUCAUGCCCCUUAUGAUUUGGGCUACACACGUGCUACAAUGGACAAUACAAAGGGCAGCGAAACCGCGAGGUCAAGCAAAUCCCAUAAAGUUGUUCUCAGUUCGGAUUGUAGUCUGCAACUCGACUACAUGAAGCUGGAAUCGCUAGUAAUCGUAGAUCAGCAUGCUACGGUGAAUACGUUCCCGGGUCU